rnacentral:misc_RNA from 1 species
UGCCUCGUCAUCUUGAUUUUAUGAUUCUUGAUUGCUGAACAAUAGUAAUUUAACCAUAAAACAUUGCCAUAUACUUCAAUUGAAUUGAAUCUGCUAUUUAGUGAUUCAGGCUACUGGCUUGCAUUUUAGGUAACCAAGAAAUUGAAUAACAAAAAUGAUUUGAUUCAUCUUGCUACGAAGGCAUUGUUAUAGACGUCUGAUUCAUGAGCGAAAUUUGGAAUGCAGGGUUACAAGAAAGACGCAAAGG